ACUUUUGUCACUGUAACAGGCUCCGCUUAUCUCUUUUUCCGGGAGGCGGAUUAAAAGGGAACCGGGUGAGAAUCCCGGACAGACCACGCUGCUGUGAACUUUUAAACAUUCGGACAAUACCUUGGCCACUGGUUUUGUAAUCGGGAAGGCGUCCUGAAUGGAAGUAAGUCAGAAGACCUGCCGGUUCAUAAAUAAAUGU
rnacentral:ncRNA from 2 species